UAUAGAUAAAAACAUGGCCGACGUUGACUUAAGGAGACUUGUGAACAUACCAAACCAAUAUCAAUAUCAGUGUACCUGUAAGGCACCAUGCAGGGCUCUGUUUGCCAACAGCCAUUAAACAACAGAAGAAGAAGAAGACGAAGAAGAAUAUGUAGGUUACACGAUUGUUUUUGUUUUUCUAUCAUCGCACGCGACCGACGUACACUCUGUGUAGGUUGAGGCUCUACUUCAUUCACACUCCUCACCUGAACAAAUGAGAUAACAGAGACGAGACUAACAAGAUUCAUCGCUCCGGAUUUCACCUUAAAGUGUUGCUACAAACAUUCACACACAGUCCAGCUAAGGGAAAAGGAGUUGUCCUUGGUGCAGUUGUCUGUCCUUGUGUGACUCUUUGGGCAGCCCUGACACAGCUCUCUGCCAAAUGGCCUUUCUCCCAGUCUACACAAACGCUGCAGGAGACUCAGUAGAUAAGAGAACCAGCACUUCCCCCAGCCUACACGAGUACUGGUCAACAAUGCAGCAAACCAAAUGCCUGACUUGGCUUAACAUCAACAUUCAAAAUAAGGAAGCUAUCAUCUGCAGAGCUGUUCAACAACAACACUGACCUGGGCACAUCUCUUAUUGGGAUUUGUCUAGGCUCUGUCUGGUGUCCACGUUCCAACCAUCCCUCGUAUGUGAUUGGUCAGCUCAGCGCCUUUGCCGGAUGAUGUCACUGUUUGGUGUGGUAAAAGCUGAACCUGAUCCAAUGUUUUCACCACAGGGGGCUCUGGCAAAAUGACACAGCCCCAUGGAGUGCUGCUGCCGGCUGUGGUGAAUGUAAUCCCCCAUAAAAAUGAAUGGGGAGAGGUGUGUAUUUUCACACCUUUGAAACUCAGUCUGAACGUGGGCUUGGAGUCAGAGACAAGAGAGACUGUCAUGUAAUGUGAAGAAGACAGAGAAAAGUAUUGACAGAUGAGAAGCUGAGGGCAAAGUUGCACCCUCCACACAACCUGUACACAUGCACAUAAAUCACUCCGAGCUACACCUGCACACUAUAGAGACAGGAGGCAUUUGAAGGACAGCACUGAACACGUGGAAACAUGGGGCUGCAGGCCUGUCUUCCGCCUCUAAGGGAUUCUUUACUGACCUCAUGAAGACCAACAUGAAAGAUGAGCUGACGUUCUUUGAUGUUGAAGGUUUGACUGCAAAGAGUAUGUCUCUUUAUAGAGCUCUGGAAAUGUUUGGACUAUAGUCUUUUCCACCAAUUAUAUUACACAGAAAGAGAUAUUAAAUGGGUUUUUAACCAUCUUGACACAGGGGGGGAAAAUGACAUGGACAGAUUCAAAGAAAAUGAUGAAGAGACAGACAUUAAAAGAGAGAUGGAGGAGAACAUACAGAGAAACAAAGACUGACAUGUAGAGAAACGUUUGUGCUCAACACAUGCAGUACAGUGUGUCUAAAGGGAAUGUUGUCUUAAGGUUUGACUGGGUUACAUUCAUGAUGUAAUGGCUGGUUCUUGUACUUUUCAUCUUUACAGACUUAGCCACAGUAUGAGCAGUAUUACUACCUGAGGGGGAAAAAAUAACAGCCUUGUUUUUUAGGAGCAGUAUAUUCAAUCAAACGACAACUAAUCAUGUAGGUUUUUAGUCCAACCAAACGUCACGGUAGCUGAAUAUGAUUAACACACUUCCGUCCACAGAGAUGUUCUAAGUAAAAUCAGGUGUCACACUGGUUCGAAUGAGAACCUGUAUCUAUCCAUAACAUAGACGGGCACAUAAAUAUCACACAUGUAAUGCUUGUCUUCUCCUUGACUCAGGAUAGGAGAUUUAAGCAGCAUCUUUUCACAAUGAUAGUUGAUUCACCUGAGAAGGUGUACUGCAGUAGUACUAUCUGUAGCCCUGUAUACUAGAUGACAUUUAGAGAGAAAUAUAUUUCAG